GAUGAACGCUGGCGGCGUGCCUAAUACAUGCAAGUCGAGCGAACAGACGAGGAGCUUGCUCCUCUGACGUUAGCGGCGGACGGGUGAGUAACACGUGGAUAACCUACCUAUAAGACUGGGAUAACUUCGGGAAACCGGAGCUAAUACCGGAUAAUAUAUUGAACCGCAUGGUUCAAUAGUGAAAGACGGUUUUGCUGUCACUUAUAGAUGGAUCCGCGCCGCAUUAGCUAGUUGGUAAGGUAACGGCUUACCAAGGCAACGAUGCGUAGCCGACCUGAGAGGGUGAUCGGCCACACUGGAACUGAGACACGGUCCAGACUCCUAAGGGAGGCAGCAGUAGGGAAUCUUCCGCAAUGGGCGAAAGCCUGACGGAGCAACGCCGCGUGAGUGAUGAAGGUCUUCGGAUCGUAAAACUCUGUUAUUAGGGAAGAACAAAUGUGUAAGUAACUAUGCACGUCUUGACGGUACCUAAUCAGAAAGCUACGGCUAACUACGUG
rnacentral:rRNA from 1 species